UCAGUACAAGCCGGAACCUUCAACAUAACUGAGGGGUACUGAUGUCGGGGGAAACCCUCCCAUACGUCAAUGGGAUAGAGAGAAAGACAAAGACCGGACCGACUAAAGCGCCUCAGUUGGGCGCUUUAGUUUU
rnacentral:sRNA from 1 species